GAUGAACGCUGGCGGCGUGCUUAACACAUGCAAGUCGAACGGUGAACCAGGGCUUGCCCUGGGGAUCAGUGGCGAACGGGUGAGGAACACGUGGGCAACCUGCCCCUCACUCUGGGAUAACUCCGGGAAACCGGGGCUAAUACCGGAUAUGACCUGGUGCGACAUCACACCAGGUGGAAAGAAUUUCGGUGAGGGAUGGGCCCGCGGCCUAUCAGCUAGUUGGUGGGGUAACGGCCCACCAAGGCGACGACGGGUAGCCGGCCUGAGAGGGCGACCGGCCACACUGGGACUGAGACACGGCCCAGACUCCUACGGGAGGCAGCAGUGGGGAAUAUUGCGCAAUGGGCGAAAGCCUGACGCAGCGACGCAGCGUGAGGGACGACGGCCUUCGGGUUGUAAAGUCCUUUCGGCGGGGAAGAUAAUGACGGUACCCGCAGAAGAAGCCCCGGCUAACUUCGUGCCAGCAGCCGCUGUAAGAC
rnacentral:rRNA from 1 species